rnacentral:rRNA from 1 species
AUACGAGAGGUGCAAGCGUUAUUCGGAAUCAUUGGGCGUAAAGGGUGCGUAGACGGCGCAUUAAGUCAACUGUUAAAUCUCCUGGCCUAACUGGGAAAAUGCGGUAGAUACUGAUGUGCUAGAGGAUGGAAGAGAGAAGUGGAAUUCUCGGAGUAGCGGUAAAAUGCGUAGAUCUCGAGAGGAACACCGAUGGCGAAGGCAGCUUCUUGGUCCAUUCCUGACGUUGAGGCACGAAAGCGUGGGGAGC